UACGGGGGGAGCAAGCGUUGUUCGGAUUUACUGGGCGUAAAGGGCGCGUAGGCGGUCAGCACAAGUCAGUUGUGAAAUCUCCGGGCUUAACUCGGAAAGGUCAACUGAUACUGUGCGACUAGAGUGCGGAAGGGGCAACUGGAAUUCUCGGUGUAGCGGUGAAAUGCGUAGAUAUCGAGAGGAACACCAGUGGCGAAGGCGGCUCACUGGCCCGUUACCGACGCUCAGGCGCGACAGCGUGGGGAGCAAACAGG
rnacentral:rRNA from 1 species